GCGAGCCUCUCCCGUUCCCGAUCGCCGGGAUCGUGUGAGGGGAGCGGGAACUCCGUGCCCCAAAUCCCACUAAAACUUCUCUUUUCCCGGCUUUCAGGUCAGAGCCAUGCGCUCGUUUGGUGUUUCCCUAACUGGACAGGGAGAAAGACAAAGUGUUUGCCUGUGGGAGAAACGUUCCUCGUGGCCGUAAAAUCGGAAUUGUUCUCUGCGUCAAAUGAACGGUUUGAGCAGAGAAUUUGGUGUGUCAGCGUUUUCCAGCUCACGGAAUUCCGCGUUGAGAAUCUUCUAGGAAGCGCCCACAGGGUGCUCCACCACUUGUAGUCCAGUUUCAUGGACUGUUUAGUGAAAACAUAAAGUCAUCAGUGGAAGGAGACAGCGACCACCCUCGGGUGGUUCCUACCGGUAAGGUUGUCAGGGAUGGUGGAAUUUAAUAAACAACUCUCUGCUGCUGCUCACAGAGGCCCACUGGCAUCUUCCAGGGUUUGCUGGGAAGGGAGGCAGGACGUAACAAAAUGUCAGUAAAACUCAUUGUUGAGCUGUGUUGUGUUCGGAGUAGAAAAAAGUUUAGCUGGUUCUGGUUCAUAUAAUUUGGAGACAGAAAUAAAAAUAAAGCCUUUUGCUUCUCAAGGUGGAAAGCAUGACUAACUAAGAAUGUGACUCAAGGAAAGGUGUUUGCUUUAGGUAUUAAUGAGAAAUGGCCAGUGUCUUUCAGCAAAAUAGCGUUUCUCUUUGGAAGUACUGACAUUACUGGGUGAAACUGGUUGGGCUGGGAUUUAAAAACAUAUAAAAGCCAGUGCUAGCCUACCUCUGUUCCCCAACACUGCCAUGCUCUCCCGGGCACACUCAUCUCUGUAAUUCCCCAUUAGUUACCCCUGUCUGUUUUUCCCCGCUUGUCCUCAGGCCAGCGGGACAGCUGUGUGCUGGAGGGGCAUGGGGGUUUUUUUGGCUUGCUCUGUGUGGGUUUGACUUGGAUUUGUUUGAUUGUUGGACUUGUUCACACACGGCUGUCUGUCAUUGGGAAAGGAGGAGGGAGAGGAGCUGUGACAGUAAAAGCCAGUGAGCCACUGUUGCUACAUUUAACACUUGUACAUUUUUAUUUAGUUAAAUCAGCCAUUGUACACAUUGCAGCUAUGUAUUGUUAGUGUUGUAUGUUUUUAAUUUUUAACUAAUACAUGCCCUCAUAGAUAUAUUCAAUUAGUGUUAUCACCAUGGGAACAAGAUGCUGAUUCGUCAACUUAAAAUUCACUUCUUCUCACAGUAUUCAAGUUCUCUGAUAACACAGCAAAAAAUCAAAAUAAGAGGUGAAUAACCAUUAUGCUGUUACACAGAACAUCAUCUGCACCGCAAAUAACACAACAGAAAUGCAUUUCUUGAGAGCCCCAUCCUUGAAGACCCUCCUGUGCUGUCUCGGACAGUCAGGAAGCCACGAUGCGCUGUGAGAUGUUUCGCCACGGGUCUCGUUCGGUUUGGCUGCCAAAACACUUUUUUUUUUUCUCUCAGUUUCCUUUCUUGCCUGCCCAAAAAGUGUCAGCACGGCACCUCGGGUGGUUCUGCCCACAGGAAGCCAGAACUCCAGAGAUGUUUCCAUGCUUUUGGCAUCAUUACCUUAAUGAGGAAGUGCCCUUGUUCUGAGCACUGAGUGAGUCGUUAAAAAAAGCCCAAAGAACCCUAUAAUUGUAGAAGGCCA